AGUGAACGCUGGCGGUAGGCCUAACACAUGCAAGUCGAACGGCAGCACAGUAAGAGCUUGCUCUUACGGGUGGCGAGUGGCGGACGGGUGAGGAAUACAGCGGAAUCUACUUUUUCGUGGGGGAUAACGUAGGGAAACUUACGCUAAUACCGCAUUCGACCUACGGGUGAAAGCAGGGGAUCUUCGGACCUUGCGCGAUUGAAUGAGCCGAUGUCGGAUUAGCUAGUUGGCGGGGUAAAGGCCCACCAAGGCGACGAUCCGUAGCUGGUCUGAGAGGAUGAUCAGCCACACUGGAACUGAGACACGGUCCAGACUCCUACGGGAGGCAGCAGUGGGGAAUAUUGGACAAUGGGCGCAAGCCUGAUCCAGCCAUACCGCGUGGGUGAAGAAGGCCUUCGGGUUGUAGAGCCCUUUUGUUGGGAAAGAAAAGCAGCAGGUUAAUACCCGGCUGUUCUGACGGUACCCAAAGAAUAAGCACCGGCUAACUUCGUG
rnacentral:rRNA from 1 species